GUAGGGAAUCUUCCACAAUGGACGAAAGUCUGAUGGAGCAACGCCGCGUGAGUGAAGAAGGUUCUCGGAUCGUAAAACUCUGUUGUGAGGGAAGAACAAGUACCGGAGUAACUGCCGGUACCUUGACGGUACCUCAUUAGAAAGCCACGGCUAACUACGUGCCAGCAGCCGCGGUAAUACGUAGGUGGCAAGCGUUGUCCGGAAUCAUUGGGCGUAAAGCGCGCGCAGGCGGUCCCUUAAGUCUGAUGUGAAAGCCCACGGCUCAACCGUGGAGGGUCAUUGGAAACUGGGGGACUUGAGUGCAGAAGAGGAAAGCGGAAUUCCAAGUGUAGCGGUGAAAUGCGUAGAGAUUUGGAGGAACACCAGUGGCGAAGGCGACCACCUGGACUGAUACUGACACUGAGGUGCGAAAGCGUGGGGAGCAAACAGGAUUAGAAACCCUGGUAGUCC
rnacentral:rRNA from 1 species